rnacentral:rRNA from 1 species
AGCGAACGCUGGCGGCAGGCCUAACACAUGCAAGUCGAGCGGACGUCGCAAGACGUCAGCGGCAGACGGGAGAGUAACACGUGGGAACGUACCCUUCGGUUCGGAAUAACCCAGGGAAACUUGGGCUAAUACCGGCUACGUCCGUAAGGAGAAAGAUUUAUCGCCGAAGGAUCGGCCCGCGUCCGAUUAGCUAGUUGGUGGGGUAAUGGCCCACCAAGGCGACGAUCGGUAGCUGGUCUGAGAGGAUGAUCAGCCUCACUGGGACUGAGACACGGCCCAGACUCCUACGGGAGGCAGCAGUGGGGAAUAUUGGACAAUGGGCGCAAGCCUGAUCCAGCCAUGCCGCGUGGGUGAUGAAGGCCCUAGGGUUGUAAAGCCCUUUCGGUGGGGAAGAUAAUGACGGUACCCGCAGAAGAAGCCCCGGCUAACUUCGUGCCAGCCGCCGCCGUAA